UUCGGUAGAUUGCUAGCGGCGGACGGGUGCGUAACACGUGGGUAACCUGCCCCUAUCACUGGGAUAGCACACUGAAAAGUGUGCUAAUACCAGAUAAUAUAAGCUUUUGGCAUCAUUAGCUUAUCAAAGAAUUUCGGAUAGGGAUGGGCCCGCGUCUGAUUAGCUAGUUGGUGAGGUAACGGCUCACCAAGGCAACGAUCAGUAGCCGACCUGAGAGGGUGAUCGGCCACACUGGAACUGAGACACGGUCCAGACUCCUACGGGAGGCAGCAGUGGGGAAUAUUGCACAAUGGGCGAAAGCCUGAUGCAGCAACGCCGCGUGAGCGAUGAAGGCCUUCGGGUCGUAAAGCUCUGUCCUAUGGGAAGAUAAUGACGGUACCAUAGGAGGAAGCCCCGGCUAACUACGUGCCAGCAGCCGCGGUAAUACGUAGGGGGCAAGCGUUAUCCGGAAUUACUGGGCGUAAAGGGUGCGUAGGCGGUUUAUCAAGUCAGGGGUGAAAGGCUACGGCUCAACCGUAGUGAGCCUCUGAAACUGGUGAACUUGAGUGUAGGAGAGGAAAGUGGAAUUCCCAGUGUAGCGGUGAAAUGCGUAGAUAUUGGGAGGAACACCAG
rnacentral:rRNA from 1 species